rnacentral:rRNA from 1 species
AGAGUUUGAUCCUGGCUCAGAACGAACGCUGGCGGCGUGGAUUAGGCAUGCAAGUCGGACGGGAAUUCAUAAUUUCGUAAGAGAUUGUGGAGGAUAGUGGCGGAAGGGUGAGUACAACAUGGGUAAUCUGCCUUUAAGUUGGGGAUAGCUUCUCGAAAGGGAAGGUAAUACCGAAUGUGGUCGCAUCAGGCAUCUGAUGUUGUCUAAAGAUGGGGAUCCGUAAGGACCUAUCGCUUAGAGAUGAGCCCGUGUCCCAUCAUGCUAGUUGGUAAGGUAAAGGCUUACCAAGGCUAACGGGUAGCUGGUCUGAGAGGAUGGUCGGCCACACUGGGACUGAGAAACUGCCCAGACUCCUACGGGAGGCUGCAGUCGAGAAUCAUUCGCAAUGCGCGAAAGCGUGACGAUGCGACGCCGCGUGCAGGAAGAAGGCUUUCGGGUUGUAAACUGCUGUCGUGAGGGAACAAGGGAUGGUAUGCGAAUAGCAUGUCAUAGUGAUAGUACUUCAGGAGGAAGACACGGCAAACUCUGUGCCAGCAGCCGCGGUAAUACAGAGGUGUCGAGCGUUGUUCGGAUUUACUGGGCGUAAAGGGUGCGUAGGCGGUUGUGUAUGUUAAGUGUGAAAUCUCAUUGGUUAUCAAUGAAACAGCGCUUAAAACUACAUAGCUAGAGUACAGGAGAGGGGAGUAGAAUUCUUGGUGUAGCAGUGAAAUGCGUAGAUAUCAAGAGGAAUACCGGAGGCGAAGGCGGCUCUCUGGAAUGAUACUGACGCUGAGGCACGAAAGCUGGGGGAGCAAACAGGAUUAGAUACCCUGGUAGUCCCAGCCCUAAACGUUGUACACUUGAUGUGAUCAGGUUUGUCCCUGAUCGUAUCGGAGCUAACGCGGUAAGUGUACCGCCUGGGGAGUACGGUCGCAAGGCUAAAACUCAAAGGAAUUGACGGGGGCCCGCACAAGCGGUGGAGCAUGUGGCUUAAUUCGAUGCGACGCGAAGAACCUUACCAGGGCUUGACAUGCAGAGUUCAGAUAUCGAAAGAUAUUGGCCGCAAGGCGAUCUGCACAGGUGCUGCAUGGCUGUCGUCAGCUCGUGCCGUGAGGUGUUGGGUUAAGUCCCGCAACGAGCGCAACCCUUAUGAUUAGUUGCUACUUUGUGAAAGCAAAGGCACUCUAGUCAGACUGCCUGUGAUAAUCAGGAGGAAGGUGGGGAUGACGUCAAGUCAGUAUGGUCCUUAUGUCCUGGGCUGCACACGUGCUACAAUGGACAGUACAGUGGGAGGCAAGACCGCGAGGUGGAGCGAAUCCUAAAAACUGUCCUCAGUACAGAUUGAAGUCUGCAACUCGACUUCAUGAAGCCGGAAUCGCUAGUAAAGGCGUAUCAGCUACGGCGCCUUGAAUACGUUCUCGGGCCUUGUACACACCGCCCGUCACAUCAUGAAAGCCGACUGCACCCAAAAACGCUGGUCUAACUCGAAAGAGGGGAAGGUGUUAAAGGUGUGGUUGGUAAUUGGGAUGAAGUCGUAACAAGGUA